AUUGAACGCUGGCGGCAGGCCUAACACAUGCAAGUCGAGCGAGCGGCGGACGGGUGAGUAAUGCCUGGGAAUUGCCCAGUCGAGGGGGAUAACAGGUGGAAACGACUGCUAACACCGCAUACGAUUGGAUUGCCCAGGUGGGAUUAGCUAGUUUGGGAGGUAAUGGCCCACCAAGGCGACGAUCCCUACCUGGUCUGUGAGGAUGAUCAGCCCCGCUGAACCUGAGACACGGUCCAGACUCCUACGAGCGGCAGCAGUGGGGAAUAUUGCACAAUGGGGGAAACGCUGAUGCAGCCAUGCCGCGUGUGUGAAGAAGGCCUUCGGGUUGUAAAGCACUUUCAGCGAGGAGGCGUUACUCGCAGAAGAAGCACCGGCUAACUCCGUGCCAGCAGCCGCGGUAAUAC
rnacentral:rRNA from 1 species